CUAUCGACUAAACAAAACAAGCAUUCUGGCAGAACUGUCCCACAGGAAUUGUUUAAACAUCUCUAAAAUAAUUUUAAGGCACUCAUUCAUUUGAAUAUACUCGUAAAUAUUCUACAUUAAAUUAAAUUAACCAAAGCUCACAAGACGCAACAUUCAAAUACCGGUAAAGUGGCGCCCAAACAGCUGACCGCGAGAGUGUGAACACACAUGCGUGUUUGCACAUACAUUUACUUCAAGGGGUUGUUGGGCGUCGGAACCACCACAAAAACGGAGAAUCAUACGACGACAGACAGACAACAAAACAAACCAUGGAGGAGCGCGCUGUUUUGGCCAAUAUUGCUUCUAUUAUUACUAAGGAUUUGCUGAUUGAUCAGCAGCCCAAAGGCGAUGGGCCAACAGAGAUUUCAUCGAAUAAUUACCCCCUUCUGGCGGCCAGUGAUGACGACGAGGCGGAGAUCUUUGCAUUAAUGCAGCAGAAACGUGGUACGUCCUCAAAUCUCAAGCGCAGAGAGACAAUGGAACAAGCGAAGCCGCAGAAACGUCGUAAAAUUGCCAAAUUGCAGUGGACAUAUGGGGAUCUAAACCUCCUACACCGGUAUGUGGAGGCUCAAUUCGAAUCUUAUUUGCAUAUGCGCAAGCUAUCGUUUCUGAAAAUUCAACAAUCAUUGGGGGAGAUACUACAGGAAAUUAGCCUGCCCGGGUACCCGAGCCCUCCGCCUCAGACAGUGUUUUCGCUGGCCAUGUGGAAGCUAGCCACCGACGAACACUUCGAAGAGAUUUCUAGGAAGUAUCAGCUGCCGUGGGCACUCUGCCAGCAGGUGGUGCGUAGCUUCUGGAAUGUUAUAUCCGACAACUAUGAGAGUUUCAUCAAAUGGCCAAACUCUCUGGCAGCACAACAGAACACGCUGCAGGGUUAUCAGAGCCUUCCGCAGCUCAAGUGCUUCAAAGAGCUGUUCGGCAUCAUUACGCUGAAGCGCCUGGAUGUCUUCCUGGAGUCAGAGCAUGCCGAGGUUCCAGUUGUCCUGCAACUCAUCUGCAAUGCCGAGAAAAAGAUCAUCGACUGCUAUGUGGAAUUGGCCCACGAGUACACAUUCGAGGAUUCGCCGAUUGGCCAAACACUUGCGUUGAACCCCAGGACAAUGCCAGCCGGCAGCUACCUCAUUGGAAAUAGUGUCUUUCCACUCAAAUCGUAUUUGAUGCGACCCAUCGAGUCAGAAUGCUUUCGCAAGGAUGCAGUGUUCAACGAUCUGAUGAAGCCUGCUUUCCAGCUGGCCGAGAAGGUCCUCGACGCAUUGGCUCGUCGUUUCAACACUCUGUACGCCCUGGAGGCGCGAGAUCUGAACGAAGUCCGUCUCAUAGUGGAGAGCAUUUGUGCCAUGCACAAUCUCUGCGAGGAGUUCAGGGAUGAUUACUUGGAUCAGCUGUCGAUUUCUGAAGGACGGACAAAUUUUACCUGGGGCGGCAUAGUGGAUGACAUUAAAGGGAGUGAGAGUAACAAUCAAGGACUGCGAAGGCGUGUUGACCUCAUGGAUGAGUUAGUGGCCAUGGAGCCCUGAGAUUGAAAAUUCCAUAAUCUUAAGAAAUUAAUCUGAUCAUCGGUUUAUGCUUUUGUUUUCUGAACGGAAAAAAUAUAAUUUAAAAAUCACGAAAGUGCCGCACAGCCCUGCGCAUUACAGCACAUUUUGUGCCUUCGCUUUUUAUGGUAUGGCAACUCUGGUCUG